rnacentral:lncRNA from 1 species
AUCCGAGAGAUCGUAGAUCGAGGUGACAUCGACCUUCAAAAGAUCGACGGAAAGGAGAACCUGACCGACCCCUUUAGUAAAGCCCUGGCGAUAAAGGAGAUAAACAACCAUAAGUCGAAGAUGGAUAUUAGAUACUGUGUCAAGUGGCUUUAGGACAAGUGGGAGUUAUUGAAAAAUAUGUCUCAAAAGUCAAUCGUCAACCUAU